CGUACUGGGCGAUCUACUGGCCCGGAGGACAGGCGCUGUCACGGUUUCUCCUGGACCACCCCGCAGUGUGUCGGGGUCAGACCGUUCUGGAUCCGGGCAGCGGCUGCGGAGCCUCCGCCAUCGCCGCCAUUCUGUGCGGUGCCGCUCAUGUAGUGGCUAACGACAUCGACCCUAUGGCAGCCGUGGCGACGCACAUGAACAGUGAGCUGAACGG